CUAGUUGCAAAGCUUCCGGUUCUGGGGGAAGGCGUGGCUUCCGCGCUCUUUGAAAUGUCCGGCGCCAGAAUGUCUGGGUGCUUUGGUUGGAGAGGGUCCCAUUUCCAGUCAUUCUUCAGCCUGGUGAUUCCCGCGCUCCCCUGAGGAGCAUAUGAAGUACGUCGGUUCUGCCAGGUUGGAACGCGGUGCUGGACACUCGGCCGUAAGGCGGAUCCCGGAUCCCCUCCCACUCCGACCCUUCCCUUCAGAAGGGCCGGUUCCCAAACGGCCCCUUUAGACACAUCCAAGCGGUUUCCGACGGCCCUCACGAUGAAAACUGCUGUCCGUUGGUGAAGGCAGCCUCUUCUGUGCUCCUCGCCGCUGACUUCCUGAGGCGGACCUACCUGUGGAGGCAUACCAGGAACCAGACGAUGACCCCCUCCAAAAGUUGGGUCUUUGAGGAGAGCUACUAACUUGGGUUCCUGGUACACCCUCUACAUGCAGUGGUGAAGCUUAUCUAACAGUCAUUCAUAGAGUCAGUUUGGGAAGGGGAAUUUUCGCUGAACUCUCAUAGAGAAACUGUGUUUUAGAUAACAGAAAGUUCUGCACGGUUAAAAUGGAACAGAAUUUUUUUUGCACAGAAAUUAGGAUUACCGAAAAUACUGAAGAAAGACUACCUCUGAUUGGACUCUUCUCAAGGAAUUAAUAAUUCAAGAACUAAGGAAAGAAAAAAGUGAUUAUAUGAAAAUACUGAAGUUGAUCGUAGCAACUGAAGGCUGAUCCUGUGUGGGUAAAUGUAAACGCUGAAUUCCCCCAUUCCAAUGUGCGACCUGGGAUUAAGGCAGCAAUUGAGCAGGAAUGUCACAUAAAUGGAAUCAUGCUGUGUCCGGAAUUGGUGGGUUCUUGGUCUCACUGACUUCAAGAAUGACGCCAUGGACCCUCACGAUUUCAUCUCUCUCUCUGCUAUGGACACAGAUGGCUUCACUCCAUCCUGUAUUCUCCGGACCAUGAUAAAAUUCCAGACUCUCGGUAGUUUUUGCGUUCCAAGAAGUAGAGCCUAGAGUGGUGGCCUAUAAUUACAGUUACUCAGGAGGCUGAGGCAGGAGGAUCCUUUGAGUCCAGCAGUUUGAGGCCAGCCUGGACACCACAGCAAGACCACCAAUAAAUAAAUAAAUAAAUGGAACAUGUUUCCCUGUCAUGGUCAUUUUCAUC
rnacentral:lncRNA from 1 species